UGGGGAAUAUUGCACAAUGGGCGCAAGCCUGAUGCAGCCAUGCCGCGUGUAUGAAGAAGGCCUUCGGGUUGUAAAGUACAUUUCAGCGAGGAGGAAGGCAUUAAGGUUAAUAACCUUGGUGAUUGACGUUACUCGCAGAAGAAGCACCGGCUAAACUCCGUGCCAGCAGCCGCGGUAAUACGGAGGGUGCAAGCGUUAAUCGGAAUUACUGGGCGUAAAGCGCACGGCAGGCGGUCUGUCAAGUCGGAUGUGAAAAUGCCCCC
rnacentral:rRNA from 1 species